rnacentral:misc_RNA from 1 species
UUUCCGUAGGUGAACCUGGGAAGGAUCAUUCAUAAUAAGUGUUUUAUGGCACUUUUUUAAAUCCAUAUCCACCUUGUGUGCAAUGUCAGGGUUGAUUUUUCUCUCGAGAGGAUCAGCCCCAAACAUCAACUAUAUCUCAACUCUUUGUCUGAAAAAUAUUAUGAAUAAAACAAUUCAAAAUACAACUUUCAACAACGGAUCUCUUGGCUCUC